rnacentral:rRNA from 1 species
UCCGGAUUUAUUGGGCGUAAAGAGCUUGUAGGUGGUUUNUCGCGCCGGGAGUGAAAACUCAGGGCUUAANUCUGAGCUUGCUUUCGAUACGGGCUGACUUGAGGGAGGUAGGGGAGAAUGGAAUUCCUGGUGGAGCGGUGGAAUGCGCAGAUAUCAGGAGGNACACCGGUGGCGAAGGCGGUUCUCUGGACCCUUCCUGACGCUGAGAAGCGAAAGCGUGGGGAGCGAACAGGCUUAGAUACCCUGGUAGUCCACGCUGUAAACGGUGGGUACUAGGUGUGGGGGACAUUCCACGUUCUCCGUGCCGUAGCUAACGCAUUAAGUACCCCGCCUGGGGAGUACGGCCGCAAGGCUAAAACUCAAAGGAAUUGACGGGGCCCCGCACAAGCGGCGGAGCAUGCGGAUUAAUUCGAUGCAACGCGAAGAACCUUACCUGGGUUUGACAUAUGCCGGAAGCGUUCAGAGAUGGGCGUGCCUUUUUGGUCGGUUUACAGGUGGUGCGUGGCUGUCGUCAGCUCGUGUCGUGAGAUGUUGGGUUAAGUCCCGCAACGAGCGCAACCCUCGUCCAAUGUUGCCAGCGGGUUAUGCCGGGGACUCAUUGGAGACCGCCGGGGUCAACUCGGAGGAAGGUGGGGAUGACGUCAAGUCAUCAUGCCCCUUAUGUCCAGGGCUUCACGCAUGCUACAAUGGCCGGUACAGUGAGCUGCGAGCCUGUGAGGGUGAGCGAAUCUCUAAAAGCCGGUCUCAGUUCGGAUUGGGGUCUGCAACUCGACCCCAUGAAGUCGGAGUCGCUAGUAAUCGCAGAUCAGCAACGCUGCGGUGAAUACGUUCCCGGGGCUUGUACACACCGCCCGUCAAGUCAUGAAAGUCGGUAACACCCGAAGCCGGUGGCCUAACCCGUUUGGGAGGGAGCUGUCGAAGGU